rnacentral:rRNA from 1 species
GACGAACGCUGGCGGCGUGCUUAACACAUGCAAGUCGAACGGAAAGGCCCUGCUUUUGUGGGGUGCUCGAGUGGCGAACGGGUGAGUAACACGUGAGUAACCUGCCCUUGACUUUGGGAUAACUUCAGGAAACUGGGGCUAAUACCGGAUAGGAGCUCCUGCUGCAUGGUGGGGGUUGGAAAGUUUCGGCGGUUGGGGAUGGACUCGCGGCUUAUCAGCUUGUUGGUGAGGUAGUGGCUUACCAAGGCUUUGACGGGUAGCCGGCCUGAGAGGGUGACCGGCCACAUUGGGCCUGAGAUACGGCCCAGACUCCUACGGGAGGCAGCAGUGGGGAAUAUUGCACAAUGGGCGGAAGCCUGAUGCAGCAACGCCGCGUGCGGGAUGACGGCCUUCGGGUUGUAAACCGCUUUCGCCUGUGACGAAGCGUGAGUGACGGUAAUGGGUAAAGAAGCACCGGCUAACUACGUG